AUCAACCGAACGUGGCACAACAAGAUACGAUAAAACCAGGCACAAACUCUCACAUCAAAGCUGGGCAAGGCAACCCAGUAGGAGGAAAAGGAUCCUGAGAGCAGACAGAAGAGUCAGAGACACCACCACUCCCACAAAACCACUAAGCUGCUGGGUGAAGCCUCUCUGAUGAAAACUGAACUAUGAACCAAUCUGAUUUCACCAUUUGUUGAAGAGGCCGUCUUUGUCCAGGGUGUUUCUGGCAUCUUUGUUGUAAUGGAGAUGUGACAGCUGUCUAGGGGAUUGAUGAAUUUGCUCCCUGACACGAACAAAGAAUUGAAUGACUAGGAAGACAGAAGACACAGCUUUAUCCUGUCAAGAUGGGAGAAGUCUAAAGCUGGAAGUCUAUUAAACAGAGGCUGACUUGGACACAGGACUUAGAGGAUUUGAGCUGAAGCUGACCUGAAAGCCUCUUCCCUGAGGACUAGCUUUCCCAGUAAUGGAAGGCGCUGUACAAGCUGCUGGAAGAGGGAAGCCGUCAACUGUCCUACUAGUCUGUGAGGCCUAUGACCAAAGCAUGAGCAGCAUUGAUAUGUGUAGCUCUCACCCCUCAUCAAAGACGCUUCCCUUUACAAAAGACAGAGACAAUCCAGAAAACCCCAGUGGUCACAGUGCAGAGAACAAGUGAUGGGUUGAAGUGUGCAUCUUGACUGUCUCUUGAGAGCAUGUUGGCAUCAGGAAAGGUAUGAGCAUCGGUCUCUGCAAGACUCGGAAUAUCUAACGGAGAUAGUGCCUACAGAAAGCAGGUAUGCUCUGCGCUGGCUGCUUACUGUUUCUGCCCUUUGUCUACAUGGAUCUCGUGAUGUGGACAUGGA